AGGGUGAACGCUAGCGGUGCGCCUAACACAUGCAAGUCGAGCGGUAGAAUGAUUUAGCUUGCUAAAUCAUUUGAGAGCGGCGAACGGGUGAGUAACACGUUGGUAUCUGCCCCCAAGUCAGGGAUAGCCAUUGGAAACGAUGAUUAAUACCGGAUAGUCUCUUCGGAGUAAAAAUUUAUUGCUUGGGGAGGAACCUGCGUUCUAUCAGCUUGUUGGUGAGGUAAAAGCUCACCAAGGCUAUGACGGAUAAUUGGUCUGAGAGGAUGACCAGUCACAAUGGAACUGAGACACGGUCCAUACUCCUACGGGAGGCAGCAGUGAGGAAUCUUCCACAAUGGACGAAAGUCUGAUGGAGCGACACCGCGUGAAGGAUGAAUGUCUAACGAUUGUAAACUUCUUUUCUGAGGGAGCAUAAUGAGAGUACCUCAGGAAUAAGGGACGGCUAAUUACGUGCCAGCAGCCGCGGUAAUACGUAAGUCCCAAGCGUUACCCGGAAUCACUGGGUGUAAAGGGUUCGUAGGCGGCGAAGUAAGUUGGAUAUAAAAGACCGGAGCUCAACUCCGUGUAUGUGUUCAAAACUGCUUUGCUAGAAUUAGGGAGAGGUAAGCGGAAUUCUGAGUGUAGGGGUGCAAUCCGUAGAUACUCAGAGGAACACCAAAAGCGAAGGCAGCUUACUGGAACUAUAUUGACGCUGAGGAACGAAAGCGUGGGUAGCGAAAAGGAUUAGAUACCCUUGUAGUCCACGCCCUAAACGAUGAUAACUAAGUGUUGCUCCUAGAGGGCAGUGCUGAAGCUAACGCGAUAAGUUAUCCACCUGAGGAGUACGGUCGCAAGAUUA
rnacentral:rRNA from 1 species